UGUUUCAGCCAUGAUUCGCGCGGCUGUUUUAUCUCGCCUUUUUCUUCGACGAAAGGACACUUAAAAUGCAUCUAAGUUGCUCUCAUAAUUAUACCAUGUUGCAUCGGAAAAGCAAUAGCAUGCGAUCAGAGGAAUAUUCCUGUGCCGACGUUAGGAUUCAAGGGUCGUGAUGAAUUCAAGUUCUACAUGAAUGUUCUGAGGGCAUUGAAGUUAGCAUCGAUGCUAACAAGACUGUGAUUGUGAAUGCCUCAGCUGCGCUUACAGUACUUCAAUCUUUCCCCC